rnacentral:rRNA from 1 species
AUUGAACGCUGGCGGCAGGCCUAACACAUGCAAGUCGAGCGGCAGCGGGAAAGUAGCUUGCUACUUUUGCCGGCGAGCGGCGGACGGGUGAGUAAUGCCUGGGAAAUUGCCCAGUCGAGGGGGAUAACAGUUGGAAACGACUGCUAAUACCGCAUACGCCCUACGGGGAAAGCAGGGGACCUUCGGGCCUUGCGCGAUUGGAUAUGCCCAGGUGGGAUUAGCUUGUUGGUGAGGUAAUGGCUCAUCAAGGCGACGAUCCCUAGCUGGUCUGAGAGGAUGAUCAGCCACACUGGAACUGAGACACGGUCCAGACUCCUACGGGAGGCAGCAGUGGGGAAUAUUGCACAAUGGGGGGAACCCUGAUGCAGCCAUGCCGCGUGUAGUGAAGAAGGCCUUC